UACGUAGGGGGCAAGCGUUGUCCGGAUUUAUUGGGCGUAAAGAGCGUGUAGGCGGCCAGACAGGUCCGUUGUGAAAACUCGAGGCUCAACCUCAAGACGUCGACGGAAACCGUCUGGCUAGAGUCCGGAAGAGGAGUGUGGAAUUCCUGGUGUAGCGGUGAAAUGCGCAGAUAUCAGGAAGAACACCUAUGGCGAAGGCAGCACUCUGGGACGGUACUGACGCUGAGACGCGAAAGCGUGGGGAGCGAACAGG
rnacentral:rRNA from 1 species